ACCCUUACUGUCUUUUUGGACCUUUUCAAAAACAAUUGGAUUCACGAUAACGAAACUGACGUGUGGUUUUAAAGGAAGAGAUGAUUGGUUCACAAGCUGCUCAAACUGAGGCCCUACAAUCAAGACACAUGAUUAAAGAACCACAAAAUGCCUCUUGGCUCUCCUGUCCUGACGUUCCCCACUGCCCCCCAGCCUGCGCGCUCAGGCCCUGGCCCACCCUGCGCUGAUGUCCCACGAGGCUGUCUGUGUGUGUUUGUCUGCGUGUGUUCAUGUGCUAGCUCCCACCCCCUCACUUCUUCCUCAGUUUGGACGACAAACAGACCGACCACCUCCCUGUUCAGGCAAUUUAACACCUGCUGAAGAAUUCAGGGCUUAUCUGCAUAAAGACAUGGGAGGGAGACAAAGACUGAGUGAGAUGCAUAACUGGAAACAACAAUUCGUAGUUAUUUAGAACGGUCUAUCCGAAUUUUGAUCCAACACUGGAUAAAAGGUACAAUUCUGGGAGUCUUCCAUGACCUGAAUUGAAUAAAUCCCUGAUUUAAAGUCAAAUUAUGCUACUGAGUUUGAUUUUGUUGUUGAUGAUGUUCUAAACUGUUCAGAAUAGAGCACAGGAGAGUCCUGAUGCACUGCUUUAGUACA